UACCAGACUCCUACGGGAGGCAGCAGUGGGGGAUAUUGCACAAUGGGGGGAACCCUGAUGCAGCGACGCCGCGUGGGUGAAGGAGUGCUUCGGCAUGUAAAGCCCUAUCGGCAGGGAAGAAGCAAGACGGUACCUGACUAAGAAGCCCCGGCUAACUACGUGCCAGCAGCCGCGGUAAUACGUAGGGGGCGAGCGUUAUCCGGAUUUACUGGGUGUAAAGGGAGCGUAGACGGCAUGGCAAGCCAGAUGUGAAAUACCGGGGCUCAACCCCGGGACUGCAUUUGGAACUGUUAAGCUGGAGUGUCGGAGAGGCAGGCGGAAUUCCUAGUGUAGCGGUGAAAUGCGUAGAUAUUAGGAGGAACACCAGUGGCGAAGGCGGCCUGCUGGACGAUAACUGACGUUGAGGCUCGAAAGCGUGGGGAGCAAACAGGAUUAGAUACCCCCGUA
rnacentral:rRNA from 1 species